rnacentral:rRNA from 1 species
GCUGGCGGCGCGCCUAACACAUGCAAGUCGCACGAGAAAGGGAGCAAUCCUAAGUAAAGUGGCGCACGGGUGAGUAACACGUGGAUCAUCUACCUUUUAGUGGGGAAUACCUCUGGGAAACCGGAGACAAUACCGCAUAAGCCCGCAAGGGGAAAGCAGCAAUGCGCUGAAAGAGGAGUCCGCGGCCGAUUAGCUAGUUGGCGGGGUAAUGGCCCACCAAGGCGAAGAUCGGUAGCCGGCCUGAGAGGGCACACGGCCACACUGGCACUGAAACACGGGCCAGACUCCUACGGGAGGCAACAGUGGGGAAUCUUGCACAAUGGGCGAAAGCCUGAUGCAGCGACGCCGCGUGAGCGAUGAAGCCCUUCGGGGUGUAAAGCUCUUUCGACGGGAACGAUAAUGACGGUACCCGGAGAAGA